GAAAUGCGAUAAGUAGUGUGAAUUGCAGAAUUCAGUGAAUCAUCGAAUCUUUGAACGCACAUUGCGCCCCUCGGCAUUCCGUGGGGCAUGCCUGUUCGAGCGUCAUCUACACCCUCAAGCUCUGCUUGGUGUUGGGCGUCUGUCCCUCCUCCGCGCGCGGACUCGCCCCAAAUGCAUUGGCAGCGGUUCCUUGCCCCCCUCUUUGCGCAGCACAUUGCCAUUCGAGGCGGCGGCGGCCCGCGUCCAACAAGCUCAACCCCCCCGUCUUUGACCUCGGAUCAGGUAGGGAUACCCGCUGAACUUAAGC
rnacentral:misc_RNA from 1 species